UACGGGAGGCAGCAGUGGGGAAUAUUGCACAAUAGGCGCAAGCCUGAUGCAGCCAUGCCGCGUGUAUGAAGAAGGCCUUCGGGUUGUAAAGUACUUUCAGUCGUGAGGAAGGUGUUAAGGUUAAUAACCUUAGCAAUUGACGUUAGCGACAGAAGAAGCACCGGCUAACUCCGUGCCAGCAGCCGCGGUAAUACGGAGGGUGCGAGCGUUAAUCGGAAUUACUGGGCGUAAAGGGCACGCAGGCGGUUAAUUAAGUUGGAUGUGAAAUCCCCGGGCUUAACCUGGGAAUGGCAUUCAAGACUGGUUAGCUAGAGUCUUGUAGAGGGGGUAGAAUUCCAUGUGUAGCGGUGAAAUGCGUAGAGAUGUGGAGGAAUACCGGUGGCGAAGGCGGCCCCUGGACAAAGACUGACGCUCAUGUGCGAAAGCGUGGGGAGCAAACAGGGAUUAGAUACC
rnacentral:rRNA from 1 species